rnacentral:misc_RNA from 1 species
CGCAGGCGAGGAGGUACAUUAAAGUUUAUAAGAAAUAAUAUAUCUUUGAACCAAUACAGUUUCAAACAUAAUCACAAUUAUUGUCAAUAUAAGUUAGUACCUAAUAUUUUUGUCUGGUUUUGAUUGUUAGUUCUUUUAAAUUUUUGAAGAUAUAAGAAGAUACAGUUAUCCAACAUUUCUAGUUUCCUGGAUUAGUGAAAAAAUAUGGAUUCUUUGCCUCAGAUAAAUAUUGAAAAUACAGAAUUGAAUAUACUUCCUAAUUUUGGUCAUCAGAAACAACAGAUCAAUUUAACGGAAUGUGAGUCCUGGAGUGAUAUAUCCCAGGAUGAUCGAAACGAAGAUGAUUUUCUAUUUGCAUCAUUGUAUGAAGAUGACAAAAUAUCCAUUAAGCUAUUUUUAGAGAUGCUGGAUAAGGCAGGUCUAAGAACGUCUGAUCCUCGUCUCUCGGGUCUGAUGUCCCGCUUAAAUAUUUUAAAGCCCCAAAAAUAUCCAUACAUUAAAUCGUUGAAGCUGGAUACCAAUACUUUUAAGCACAUGGUCGCAGAAUCGGGGGUUCUCUUCAAUAAAGUGUUCCAAAAUAAACUAAUUAUUUCAGAUUUUGAAUCCUUUAAAGAAAAAAAUUGUCAAGAUUUAUCAAGAGUGUUUAAUGAACACAACCGGGCAAGUUAUUGAUCAAAAAGGACCAAAUAAAUGCAAAUGGAGCGUUUCAAUUUGUACCGUCGAUGGACAAAGGCUCUCUCUCGGAUGUGCAACUGAUCCUUUUACAAUGAAAGAUCUCUGCAAGCCUAUACUCUAUGCUAUAUGUAUGGAAAAUCUUGGUGAACAAGUAGUUCACAAGUAUCAAGGACGAGAGCCAUCAGGACAUAGCUCAAAAGAAAUUGUUUUAGAUUGCAAUAAUAAGCCUUAUAAUCCUCUUGUAGAGUCUGGUGGUAUUAUGUCCUCCUCUCUUAUCCUUCAGAAGGUGAAGCCCGAACUCACAGUUCUGUCAGAGAAAUAUGAAUAUGUCCAGCAAUGUUUUGAUAGAAUGGCUGGAGGAGAGUAUAUCGGAUUCAAUAACGUCGACUAUUUAGCUCAAAGAAUCGGUAUGGAUCAACAAAAAGCUGUUGCUUACUUCAUGCGUGAAAAUAAGUGCUUUCCAGAGGAUAAUGUAAACAUUGAUAAGACGUUGGACUUUAACGCACAGAUUCAAGCCUUGGAAGUAAAUAGUGAAAGUAAUGCCGUGAUCGCUGCAACCCUGGCCAAUGGAGGAAUAUGUCCUAUUAAAUCAGAGAAGAUCCUUGAACAAACAACUGUGAACUGUGUUUUAUCCCUCAUGUACACUUGUGGACUUCAUCUUUCCGCCGGAGAAUUUGCUUUCAAUAUUGGUUUGCCAGCCAUCUCAUCGGGGCAUGGAGCUUUAACCGUUGUAAUUCCAAAUGUGAUGGGUAUUUCAUUAUGGUCACCCAUGUUAGACUCACUUGAUAACUCCAUUAGAGGAAUGGAGUUUUGCAAAAAAUUAAUUGACAUUUUCAGCUUCCAUAGAUUUGACUGCUUUGAGCAAAUGAAACAGUCAAGACUACAGAAAAUAGAUCCAACCUUAUCUCAUAAACCAAUAAAUCAGUUUUAUAGAACAAUAGGAAUGAUACAAGCAGCAGCAAAAGGGGACUUGGAUAAUUUGAAAUUAGCCUAUCUCCAAAAUUCAAACAUCAAUAAUGCUGACGGAGAUGAUCGAACAGCACUUCAUUUGGCUUGCGCUGAGGGACAUACCAACUGUAUACAAUUUUUACUCUAUCAAUGUGCUGCAAAUCCCUUUCUUGCUGAUAGAUGGGGUGUAACAGCAGCUACAGAGGCUCAGAAAAGCAAGAAGGAAGAAGUCCAACAAAUAAUGAAAGAUUAUUUAUUGACUCAUUCCAAAGAACAUCUUGACGAUGACCGGGAACGUGAGCUCCAUUCUAAACCACAAAAUGGUAAAUGGUGUUUUCAUGAAUUGGGUCGUAGAACUAUAGUUAACAAUUAUUAAACAAUGAUACUAACUUAAUUUUAUUUUGUGAUCCUUUGGGAUUUGAUAUUUUCUCGACAUUUGUAAGUGAGAGUCAAGACCAUACCACCUCAGUUUAACCGAACACUAAUUGAUUCGUCAUAACAA